UUUGAUCAUGGCUYARAUUGAACGCUGGCGGAAUGCUUUACACAUGCAAGUCSAACGGCAGCMCGGACUUCGGUCUGGUGGCGAGUGGCGAACGGGUGAGUAACAUAUCGGAACGUAUCCMAUAAUGGGGGAUAACUAAUCGAAAGGUUGGCUAAUACCGCAUACSCCCUACGGGGGAAAGCUAGGGACCUUCGGGCCUGGCGUUAAUGGAGCGGCCGAUAUCUGAUUAGCUAGUUGGUGGGGUAAAGGCCCACCAAGGCGACGAUCAGUAGCUGGUCUGAGAGGACGACCAGCCACACUGGAACUGAGACACGGUCCAGACUCCUACGGGAGGCAGCAGUGGGGAAUUUUGGACAAUGGGCGCAAGCCUGAUCCAGCCAUUCCGCGUGAGUGAAGAAGGSKUUCGGGUUGUAAAGCUCUUUCGCAAGGGAAGAAAACUUAGUCUCUAACAUAGACUGAGGUUGACGGUACCUUGAUAAGAAGCACCGGCUAACUACGUGCCAGCAGCCGCGGUAAUACGUAGGGUGCGAGCGUUAAUCGGAAUUACUGGGCGUAAAGCGUGCGCAGGCGGUUUUGUAAGUCAGAUGUGAAAUCCCCGAGCUCAACUUGGGAACUGCGUUUGAAACUACMAGACUAGAAUAUGUCAGAGGGGGGUAGAAUUCCACGUGUAGCAGUGAAAUGCGUAGAGAUGUGGAGGAAUACCAAUGGCGAAGGCAGCCCCCUGGGAUAAUAUUGACGCUCAUGCACGAAAGCGUGGGGAGCAAACAGGAUUAGAUACCCUGGUAGUCCACGCCCUAAACGAUGUCUACUAGUUGUUGGUGGAGUAAAUYCCAUGAGUAACGCAGCUAACGCGUGAAGUAGACCKGCCUGGGGAGUACGGUCGCAAGACUAAAACUYAAAGGGAUUUGACGGGGGCCCKCACAAGCGGUGGARGCAUGGUGGUUU
rnacentral:rRNA from 1 species